rnacentral:rRNA from 1 species
UGGGGAAUUUUGGACAAUGGGGGAAACCCUGAUCCAGCCAUCCCGCGUGUGCGAUGAAGGCCUUCGGGUUGUAAAGCACUUUUGGCAGGAAAGAAACGUCAUGGGUUAAUACCCCGUGAAACUGACGGUACCUGCAGAAUAAGCACCGGCUAACUACGUGCCAGCAGCCGCGGUAAUACGUAGGGUGCAAGCGUUAAUCGGAAUUACUGGGCGUAAAGCGUGCGCAGGCGGUUCGGAAAGAAAGAUGUGAAAUCCCAGAGCUCAACUUUGGAACUGCAUUUUUAACUAUCGGGCUAGAGUGUGUCAGAGGGAGGUGGAAUUCCGCGUGUAACAGUGAAAUGCGUAGAUAUGCGGAGGAACACCGAUGGCGAAGGCAGCCUCCUGGGAUAACACUGACGCUCAUGCACGAAAGCGUGGGGAGCAAACAGG